CUUCAUGCGCGUUUGAAUUUAGCAAAAAGUUAACGUUGUAGCCUAAGUUACUCCGUAUUACAUCAGUUAUCUGCCAGUGAAAGUCCCGUCAACAAAGCCGGAACAGACAGACAGACAGACAAAAAUUGUAAAAAAUGUUAUUUUGGUAUAUGUACCGUGUAUACAUACAUAUGCAUUUAGUGAAAAUGGGUUAUUUUAUUAUUACAAACAGACACUCCAAUUUUAUUAUAUGCAUAGAUUAAAUUAAGUUUUUAUAAAAACUUUUGAUAAUCAUUUUGGAAUUUAAUCUAACUCUUCCACUGGUUCGGAAUGUAAUUCUACGGAACCGGCAAGAUAUUUAACAGUUCUUUCAAUGAACAGAUGUAUACUAAUAUUAUAUGUAAAUGCGAAAGUUACUCUGAACCCAAUUUGAUGAAACUUGGUAUGAACUAAGCUGAGCUUGAAUCCCAAGGUCGACUUGAGAACGAACCCCUAAAACGAAGCCGCGGGCGACAACUUGUAACAACUAAAUGAUCAAUCAAUCUGAAAUUUGAUUAUAUUCGUAUUGUUUUUGUUUUUCUUUUUACAAUUUUCUGUGAUACAUUUACGCUAAACCAAAUGUUGAAUAAUAUUUAUGUUGAUAAUUAAAUAGCAAUGAAUUAUUAAA